rnacentral:rRNA from 1 species
UACGUAGGGUCCGAGCGUUGUCCGGAAUUAUUGGGCGUAAAGGGCUCGUAGGCGGUUUGUCGCGUCGGGAGUGAAAACACGGGGCUUAACCCCGUGCCUGCUUCCGAUACGGGCAGACUAGAGGUAUGCAGGGGAGAACGGAAUUCCUGGUGUAGCGGUGAAAUGCGCAGAUAUCAGGAGGAACACCGAUGGCGAAGGCAGGUCUCUGGGCAUUAACUGACGCUGAGGAGCGAAAGCAUGGGGAGCGAACAGG